rnacentral:misc_RNA from 1 species
GAAAGAUCUGCUAAAAGAGUAGUUUUAACUGAUCUGAGAGAAGAGGCUGUUGUUUAUAUUAAUGGAACACCCUUUGUUCUGAGAGAAUUGAAUAAGCCUGUUGAAUCCUUGAAGCAUGUUGGAAUCACCGGUUCAUUGGUGGAACACUUGGAGGCUCGGUUAAAAGAUGACAUUCAAUGUGAGAUUAGACAAUCUGGUGGUAGGAUGCUUCUGCAUCGUGAAGAGUAUAACCCGACUUCAAAUCAAGUUAGUAUCAUUGGAUAUUGGGAGAACAUAUUUGUGGAUGAUGUUAAGACUCCUGCUGAGGUAUAUGCAAGCCUGAAGAAUGAAGGUUAUGACAUAACCUAUAGGAGGAUACCGUUGACUAGAGAGAAAGAAGCCCUGUCUUCCGAUAUUGAUGCUAUCCAAUACUGUAAAGACGACGCUGCAGGAUCUUACCUUUUUGUAUCACACACAGGAUUUGGAGGGAUUGCUUAUGCAAUGGCUAUUAUUUGUUUAAGGCUUGAAGCUGAGGCUAAAUUGUCAUUGGAUAUUCAUCGAUCUUUUGAAAGUACCGGUCUUCCUUGUUCACCUCUAGAGAAUUUCAAUGUUCAAAUUUCUGAUGAAGAAGCACGGAGAAUGGGUGACUAUCGGGACAUAUUAAGCCUCACUAGGGUUCUUGUGCACGGCCCUGAGAGCAAGACAGACGUUGAUGCUGUGAUAGAAAGGUGUGCAGGUGCAGGUCAUUUAGGAGAAGAUAUAGUUCAAUAUUCACAGGAGCUGGAAAGGAAAUUAGAUGAAGAUGAAGAACGUCGAGCAUAUCUGAUGGAUAUGGGCAUUAGAGCUUUAAGGCGAUAUUUUUUCCUGAUCACAUUUAGAUCCUAUCUCUACAGCAGUUCUCCAGCUGAGUUAAGCUUCAAAGAAUGGAUGGAUGCAAGACCUGAACUUGGCCACCUAUGUAAUAACCUUAGAAUCUGACAUAUAGUGUGGAUAGGGUCAACACAUGGCUCUCUGUAUGCAAGUUGACCAGAUUGAGAAAUUGCUG